rnacentral:rRNA from 1 species
AGUGAACGCUGGCGGUAGGCCUAACACAUGCCAGUCGAACGGCAGCACAGUAAGGGCUUGCUCUUACGGGUGGCGAGUGGCGGACGGGUGAGGAAUACAUCGGAAUCUACUUUUUCGUGGGGGAUAACGUAGGGAAACUUACGCUAAUACCGCAUACGACCUACGGGUGAAAGCAGGGGAUCUUCGGACCUUGCGCGAUUGAAUGAGCCGAUGUCGGAUUAGCUAGUUGGCGGGGUAAAGGCCCACCAAGGCGACGAUCCGUAGCUGGUCUGAGAGGAUGAUCAGCCACACUGGAACUGAGACACGGUCCAGACUCCUACGGGAGGCAGCAGUGGGGAAUAUUGGACAAUGGGCGCAAGCCUGAUCCAGCCAUACCGCGUGGGUGAAGAAGGCCUUCGGGUUGUAAAGCCCUUUUGUUGGGAAAGAAAAGCAGCAGGUUAAUACCCCGCUGUUCUGACGGUACCCAAAGAAUAAGCACCGGCUAACUUCGUG